rnacentral:sRNA from 1 species
CGUAACAAGGUCUCCGUAGGUGAACCUGCGGAGGGAUCAUUACCGAGUACCGGGCGCAAGCCCGUACCCACACCCUGUGUCGACGCUCUACGUUGCUUCGGCGGGACGCGGUUCUGCCGCCCCCGGCUCCGGCCGGGGCGCGCCCGCCGAAGGACCCCCCAAACGCAUGGCAAACCAGUCUGUCCGAGGAUACAUGAAUUAGUCAAAACUUUUAACAACGGAUCUCUUGGUUCGGGCAUCGAUGAAGAACGCAGCGAAAUGCGAUAAGUAAUGUGAAUUGCAGAAUUCCGUGAAUCAUCGAAUCUUUGAACGCACAUUGCGCCCGGUGGUAUUCCGCCGGGCACGCCUGUCCGAGCGUCAUUGCAACAAUCACGCCCCGCGUGGUGUUGGGGGCCGUCGCGUUCGCGCGACCCCCCCGGAACUCGUUGGCGGUGGCCUCUCGCCCCGAUCGUCGCGCAUGUUACGACGGGAAGGGAGGACGCUUUGCCGAACCACCAAUUACGCUACGUUUGACCUCGGAUCAGGCGGGGAUACCCGCUGAACUUAAGCAUAUCAA